rnacentral:rRNA from 1 species
GAUGAACGCUGGCGGCGUGCCUAAUACAUGCAAGUCGAGCGAACAGACGAGGAGCUUGCUCCUCUGACGUUAGCGGCGGACGGGUGAGUAACACGUGGAUAACCUACCUAUAAGACUGGGAUAACUUCGGGAAACCGGAGCUAAUACCGGAUAACAUGUUGAACCGCAUGGUUCAACAGUGAAAGACGGUCUUGCUGUCACUUAUAGAUGGAUCCGCGCCGCAUUAGCUAGUUGGUAAGGUAACGGCUUACCAAGGCAACGAUGCGUAGCCGACCUGAGAGGGUGAUCGGCCACACUGGAACUGAGACACGGUCCAGACUCCUACGGGAGGCAGCAGUAGGAAAUCUUCCGCAAUGGGCGAAAGCCUGACGGAGCAACGCCGCGUGAGUGAAGAAGGUCUUCGGAUCGUAAAACUCUGUUAUUGGGGAAGAACAAAUGUGUAAGUAACUAUGCACGUCUUGACGGUACCUAAUCAGAAAGCCACGGCUAACUACGUG